rnacentral:snoRNA from 1 species
AAAAACGUGGCCACUUUGCCUGUUCAAUGCUGAAUGAUAAGGCCACAACCUAAAACUUAACGCUCACAGAG